AAUACGCACGACGAAAAUGGCAACUCAAGCACUGCUCUCUUCAUCAUCCAUCAGCUCGUCUGCUGAGGUCGCCAGACAGAUUCUUGGAGGAAGGCCAGUCCAAUCUGCGAGGAAGGUUUCCUUCGUCGUGAAGGCUGCUUCUACUCCUCCCGUCAAGGUUAGUCUGUUAUGGACUAAACUCUAAUCUCUAGCUAUUUACGAGAGCAAAUAAUAAACAAAAUAGAGAUCGAAAACAAGUGCGCCCACAAUUCUACAGUGAUUCAUCCAUCAUAAGAGAGUUGCAUCCACUUUGACUCUUUCACGUUUUCACUGUACUGCACAUAUGCUUAUAAGCUCAAUUUUACUUAUUGCCAUUGAUUAUUUUGUCAGCAAGGAGCAGACAGGCCUCUCUGGUUUGCUUCCAAGCAGAGUCUUUCCUACCUGGAUGGCAGGUAAACUCGUGUGCUCUUGAUAAUACUAUUUUUCACCAAAACUGAAUAUCAAAUUAUGAUCUAACGACAAAUAGUGGAGUCAAAAAGAUGAAAAUCAGUCUUAAGUCUCUGUAUUUUGAACUUUUUCAGCCUCCCUGGUGACUAUGGAUUCGAUCCAUUGGGACUCUCGGAUCCUGAAGGUACUGGAGGAUUCAUUGAGC
rnacentral:lncRNA from 1 species